GUUGACUGAAAUGUGCUUAUGCAGCACAUAUAUAAUAAAAAUGAUAAAAGGCUACUCUCUUUAGAAGGACAGACAACAUUGACCACGAUAGUGCCUCAUGCAAAGGAGACAUUCUACAAAUGUGUUGGGAAUGGAAAGCAGAUAAAGAUGUGAUCGAGAUGAAAGAGAAAAAUGGCAUUUGGAAUUCUCCCUUCAGAGAUCAAAGUUAACAGUAUGGUGAUACGGCAUCCAAGGAAGACAGAAAUAACUGAUUUCAAGACAGCGAAAUUUCUACAAUUUACCAGUUAUUUAAAAGCUAGCAAACAAACAACGGCAUACUCACCUUCAUCUGUUGGGGGAAAAUUAUUUUUUGUCAUUGCUCACUUCAACAUGGGCGCAAUGAGAGAUAAGAGACACUAAGAAAUGAGUGUAGAAAUGAAUAUUUUUGCUCAUUCUGCUAGAAAAUAUAAUACUUAGUAGAAACAGAUUCCUGAAUUGCUACACUUUAAACAUGCAAUCACAUUUUACUAUUAUAUGCUAUACACAUACUCUAAAUGUUGUAAGCUUAAUAUUUCAGAUUGUAUAAGAGAUUUUGAGGCAUGUUAUUGUACAUACAAAUAACAUAAAUAGGGUUACCAUCCUAAUCCAAGGGUUACUUAGAAAAGAAACCAAUACUAUUUUUGAUAUAUUAUUAAUGACAUUGUCUUCUGACAACAUAAUUUCUUAUACACACUGCUUUUACUUUAAAAAUUGUUUCUAGAUAAACAUAAUGUUUUUUCCUCUUUUGCUGUUUUUUUAUUUUUGGAAAAAUUAAAGGCAUCUUUAUGUUUAUUCUUAGAGAUAACUCAGCUUCAUCUUGGCCCACUUUCAAGUAAAAUUCAAAUAAAUUAAUUUGAGGGAUGUCAAAA